CUUGGUCAUUUAGAGGAAGUAAAAGUCGUAACAAGGUUUCCGUAGGUGAACCUGCGGAAGGAUCAUUAGUGAAUCUUCAAAAGUCGGCUCGUUGGAUUGUGCUGGUGGAGACACAUGUGCACGUCCGUCGGGUCGCAAAACCCACACACCUGUGCAUCUAUGACUCUGAGUGCCGCUUUGCAUGGCCUUUGAUUGGGCCUGGUGCUCGAGUACUUUCACACACUCUGGAAUGUAAGGGAAUGUCUUGUUGUGCGUAACGUACAAACUAAAACAACUUUCAACAACGGAUCUCUUGGCUCUCGCAUCGAUGAAGAACGCAGCGAAAUGCGAUAAGUAAUGUGAAUUGCAGAAUUCAGUGAAUCAUCGAAUCUUUGAACGCACCUUGCACCCUUUGGUAUUCCGAAGGGUACACCCGUUUGAGUGUCAUUGUAACCUCACUACGAUCGACUUUAUCGUCUUUCCGUAUGUGGACUUGGAUGCUGCCGUGGACUUCCACGGCUCGUCUGAAAUGCCUGAGUGUACCCCGCUUUGCGGCGUAUUCGGUGUGAUAAAUCUUCACCGGAGUUGAUCCUUUAUGGGUCGCGUCUUAAGGAGUGUGGCUCUAUGCUUCCAACCGUCUGUUUUGGACAAUCUCUGACAAUUUGACCUCAAAUCGGGUGGGACUACCCGCUGAACUUAAGCAUAUCAAUAAGCGGAGGA
rnacentral:rRNA from 1 species